GGCCCCUUGGUCAAGUGGUUAAGACACCGCCCUUUCACGGCGGUAACACGGGUUCGAAUCCCGUAGGGGUCA
rfam:Lysinibacillus macroides strain DSM 54 Scaffold6, whole genome shotgun sequence.